GGCUAAUUGUAAAGUUGGACACCGUUUCGGGCGGCGAGGAAACCAAACCACGUGACCGGGAGAAAUAAAGCAUGCGAUCCUUUAUUGCCGAGUAGAUCGCCGACUCUUUGCCCCCUCCAUGAUCGCCGGUUGGCCCGAUGCCGAACCCGUGGAAGAAGUUCCGGGCGGGCGGUGGCGGCGGCGGGGGCGGCGGAGUGUCCCGGCUCCUCGCCGAACUCCGGCCUCCCGAGCAAGGUGGCUCGCUCGUCGUCCAGACCGGCUUCCCGACCUCCCUCGCCGACCUCGUCGUCAAGAACCGCGGCCGGUUGAAGAAGCCCUCGCGGAAGAAGAAGCUGCCUCCGUCCGACCUCGACUCCUCCGCUUCUGGUCCCGUCGCAACCCCCGUCGUAGCGACACCGUCGGACGAUGGAGCUCGACCCGGCGCCGCCUUUGUAAACCGCCCCGUUCCGGUGACUGAGGGUGGCUGCUCGUCGUCGCUCAUUUCUACUGAGACGGAUAGGAAGAGGUUAAAGACAGGGUUGGGGUUUCUUUUGGCAAUGAUGUCGGUUUUGGUGCUUCUGGCUAUCGAAAGAAAGAAGCUUGUCGUGGGGAUCACAGUCUCCGCCUUUGCACUUCGGCUGCUUGAUUCCUUGAGCUUUCAAAUGCUUGGAUUCUUGAAGCCGUGUCCGGAGGCACAGAGCAGAUUGAAUUCGGUCGUCGUCGGGGGAUGGGAUUUAGAAGGGAGAGGAGUGGUCUCCCCUAUUAGGGAAGUUGGCAUCAGUAGCUCUUCGGAUACAGUAAGAUCAGAAAGGAACUCGGUGGAAUCGAUUGAUUUGGAUCCGAGGAGGGAGGCUUUGUUGGAAAGGAGGGAUCUUGUCGGAGCUGGGAAGGCUUGCCAUGAGCAUGAUCAUCGUUCGAAGGGUAAUUCGAAGGUGAAGAAGCUUUUCAGGAAGUUCGUCCCGAAGAAAUUUUGCCGACGAAGUGACAAGAAGAACGUGGAAGAGCUGAUUUCUGUUUUGAGUAGAAGAGGAGCCUCUGAUGGCAUUACAGAAAUAGAAGAAGAAGAAGCAGUCAAUGGAGAUGAUGAUAGUGAUGCAGUGCUCGGUAGUGGAGAUGUUCUAAGCAUCAAUGCCUUCAACAAGGUGACUGAUCAUGAUAGAAAGGAUGUGGAAUUUAGUCGAGAAAACUUGUGUGAAUCUAAAUCAGGGAGCUCGCAUCAAUUGUGUUUUUGUGCAGUUGUCCUUUUGGGACUUCUGGGUGGCAAGAGUGUAGCCCUUGUUCUAACCGUGUCAUGGUUUCUAUUUCACAAGUCAAUCAAGACCCUGUGGAGGAAAGGAACGGAUUUGUUUGUUUGAUUGUACAAAAAAUUUUUGGUUUCCCAAGUGAUGGAGCUUUUUGUGUAUCGCCUUACUCCGGAUGUUCGUGUUGGUCGUUCGAUUGUGAAAGGUUAUGCAAAUCAUUGGCCGAGAAAGGACAAGUUCUAUUCAAGGAUGCCAUGUUAAGGACCAAAACUUGUUUAUGGCUUGAUCUUGCCUGUAGGUAUUUUCAUUUACUUCUAUUGCACUGAUUUCUAUAUUUUAUUAAUGGAAAUUUAUUGAUUUGAUAAGCACAUGACUUGCGGUACAUGCGUGUGAUGACUACAUCGUAGAAUGCCUUAUUCACUUGAAAAUGCUGACCAUGCUAGGUGUUGUUUGAUAAUCACUGGUUAGACUUGUAACUAGGAUUUUUAAAUGCCAGGUGGUAUAUUUAGUAUUCUAUGCACAACAUGGAUUAGCAUCCAAAGGUCCUAUUACCAACAUCAAAGUAGUAGGAAGUACAUCAUUACAGAUGCCACUAUCAUGGACAAACAUAUUGUUUGAUCAAACCAAAUACUUCUCUGUCCCAGAUGUCUAUCAUUAGCGGUCAUCUUGGAAUCAGUUCUAGUUUUAUGAUGUUGGAUAUCUUAGCUUAUAUUCGCAAUCUAGACUGAUGGAGACCUUGGAAGGUCAUCCUGUUUUUUGUCAUUUAUUUUUGCAAUUUGUGGCUAGAUUGUAAACAUGUGGUUAUGAACUAAUGUCAAUCCAGUUAUUCGUUCACAUAUAGGCAUCAUCAAUAUCAGCUACAACCAAUCUCUACUUGAUUGCAAAUUUGUUUUUGCCUUCUUCUUCCUUCUCCUUACUGGUUGCUUCAAAAUGGGUGCUACCGAAAGCUAAUUGUAAAUGUUCCCCUGCAUUCUAAAAUCCUUUCACAAUUCUGUUCAUGCUGAUAAUACAGCCAUCAAAUUUGAAGAACUUAGCCCGGCUAGAGAUUAUGUGGCUCCUAUAUCAGUGCUCUUCAUUUUUAUCUUCAAACAUCAUAUGUACAAGAUGAUGCUUUUGGCAUUAUUGUAGGUAC